rnacentral:rRNA from 1 species
GACGAACGCUGGCGGCGUGCUUAACACAUGCAAGUCGAACGGAAAGGCCCUGCUUUUGUGGGGUGCUCGAGUGGCGAACGGGUGAGUAACACGUGAGUAACCUGCCCUUGACUUUGGGAUAACUUCAGGAAACUAGGGCUAAUACCGGAUCGGAGCUCCUGCUGCAUGGUGGGGGUUGGAAAGUUUCGGCGGUUGGGGAUGGACUCGCGGCUUAUCGACUUGCUGGUGGGGUAGUGGCUUACCAACGCUUUGACGGGUAGCCGGCCUGAGAGGGUGACCGGCCACAUGAGGACUGCGAUACGGCCCAGACUCGUACGGGAGGCAGCAGUGGGGAAUAUUGCACAAUGGGCGGAAGCCUGAUGAAGCAACGCCGCGUGCGGGAUGACGGCCUUCGGGUUGUAAACCGCUUCCGCCUGUGACGAAGCGUGAGUGACGGUAAUGAGUAAAGAAGCACCGGCUAACUACGUG